GACGUAGGGGGCUAGCGUUGUCCGGAAUCAUUGGGCGUAAAGCGCGUGUAGGCGGUCCGGUAAGUCCGCUGUGAAAGUCGGGGGCUCAACCCUCGGAUGCCGGUGGAUACUGUCGGGCUUGAGUACGGAAGAGGCGAGUGGAAUUCCUGGUGUAGCGGUGAAAUGCGCAGAUAUCAGGAGGAACACCGGUGGCGAAGGCGCCACUCUGGGCCGAAACUGACGCUGAGGAGCGAAAGCGUGGGUAGCAAACAGG
rnacentral:rRNA from 1 species